rnacentral:misc_RNA from 1 species
CAUGCUGGAGAAGCAGGGCACAUGCUAAAUCUAUCAGCUUGAAAGUCUGAUAGUUUUGCAUGUGCUCUAUCUCUCCAGCUUGGA